rnacentral:lncRNA from 1 species
UAUUACUAGUGAUGAUGUUGGAACUCAUUCUCCAAAGACUGAUCUUCCUGGGACAGCCAAGAUACCAAGUCAGUCGUUGUCACGGUCGUCAUCGUCCUCAUCUGAAUCUUCCCUGCACGAUCAUGUGAUUGAACUCCCAAAGCCUGUGGAGCCAGAUUCGAAAAAAAGACUACCAGGUCUUAAACAUGGUGAAACCAAUAAUGUUGAAAGUAGGAAAAGUAUACAAACUUGUUCUUCCACCUCGUCUUCCUCGUCAUCCGAAUCUGAAUCUAAACAUAAACUUCAAAAGGGUAGAGAUGUUGAUAAUUUAUUGUCGAAAAAUCCUAGCUCUCCAAGCGUGGUAAAGGACAACAGGUUGGUUACAGAUUUCAGUGAUGAUGAUGUUCCC